rnacentral:lncRNA from 1 species
CGCAACUCGUUCUUCCACUCCUUGUACCUACAGAUACAACAAAAAUAUUAGAAAUAUUAUUAAUAUCACAUACAAUUUUGUUUUUUCAUUAAUUUCCCAACGUACCUUCCCCCAUGCACAACGUCCGCCCAGCUGUGGUCUUCAGGUGCUCGAGAACCUCAAACCACACCUGCAUUUAACCGUUUAUUAGUUUAGUUUACAAAGAAAUCAACAAUGUAAUACAUAAUAUUAUUGAGGCAUUUUGUAAACUCACCGACAUCGUAUUGUGGACCAUGUCCUUAACCUCCUGCGGGACCUCGCCCUAAUUUGACCACAACAUAGGGACUCUAUCCCUAAUGAGCGCUCCCACGCGGCCGGAGUACGUCAUCGACUUCCCGCCCGAUACUAUGUCGCCAACCCUGUCAGUACCGAUGACAAUCCUCCCCGAGGUACUAACGGUCUUCUCGAGAGCCUUCCCUGUGACGGGGCCUCUCUUCUUCUUUGCCGGCUUCGCUCCGACGGUGCCUAUCACAUGAUAAACCAAAUUGAUUAUUAAAAUCGGAGACCCUUUAUUAUUAAUUAUAAGAAAACAAAUCAUUCAUCUUUUAUUACCUGAGGGCGAUGCGGCGGACGCGACGGAUUCCGUCUCUGUUGUCGAUGAUGAUACCCUCGCGGAAAUAAGAGGCGUAUCAAAAGGCACGAACCGGUACGCCGCUGGUGGAGCCACUGGCGGGGGCAGUGGAUAAAUCGGCGUCCCUGAGUCAUCGACUGCAGGUAAGGCCGGUAUCAUCCGCGGAAGGAACAGAUGAGGCGGCGGCAUCUGUACCCCAGAUGACCCACCAUCCGAAGCAGUAGGACUCGGAGUGGGCGCCCGGUGUAUCUCAGGCAUACGGGGUGCAGACACCUCCGUCUGGGUCUGAGGCCACAGCUACCUCGAGGAACGAGGGACGCCCUGCUGCCUCGAUGAAGGGGGCACCUCUGGCUGCCUCUGCGCUGUCUCCAGAAGGGUCGCACGUCUGGCUGUCAUGGGGCCACGAAACAACGUUUGAGGGUUGCUAGAGGUUCCCUCAGACGAUUCGGACUUUUGGCCCUUCGAACCCUUCGUUGAUCUAAAAUUACCGCUCAUCCUGUUUAAAAUAUUAAUUUGAAUCAAGGCCGAGGCAUGGGCGGAUACAAUCUUUCAAUGUUGCUUGUUAAUUCAUGGCUGAGGCAACAUUGAAAAAGUAAAAGUUCAAUCUUAUCCUUCUCAAAUCUAAGGCUCUAGAUUAUUUUG